CGGACGGGUGAGUAACGCGUGAGAAUUUGCCUUUAGGAGGGGGACAACAGACAGAAAUGACUGCUAAUACCCCAUAUGCUUUCGAGUAAAAUGGAUUUUUCCGCCUAAAGAGAAGCUUGCGGCUGAUUAGCUUGUUGGUAAGGUAAUGGCUUACCAAGGCGACGAUCAGUAUCUGGUUUGAGAGGAUGAUCAGACACACUGGAACUGAGACACGGUCCAGACUCCUACGGGAGGCAGCAGUGGGGAAUUUUCCGCAAUGGGCGAAAGCCUGACGGAGCAAUCUCGCGUGAGGGAUGAAUGCCUAUGGGUUGUAAACCUCUUUUUUCAGGGAGGAAUAAGUGACGUGUACCUGAAGAAUAAGCAUCGGCUAACUCCGUGCCAGCAGCCGCGGUAAGACGGAGGAUGCAAGUGUUAUCCGGAAUCACUGGGCGUAAAGCGUCUGUAGGUGGUUUAAUAAGUCAACUGUUAAAUCUCGAAGCUCAACUUCAAAAUCGCAGUCGAAACUAUUAGACUUGAGUAUAGUAGGGGUAAAGGGAAUUUCCAGUGGAGCGGUGAAAUGCGUAGAGAUUGGAAAGAACACCGAUGGCGAAGGCACUUUACUGGGCUAUUACUGACACUCAGAGACGAAAGCUAGGGUAGCAAAUGGGAUUAGAUACCCCAGUAGUC
rnacentral:rRNA from 1 species